AAACCAGCACCUCAAGUGGUCAGGAGGAUUAUUGGGCCUAAAGCAUCCGUAGCCUGUUCUGUAAGUUUUCGGUUAAAUCCACUAGCUCAACUAGUGGGCUGCCGAAAAUACUGUAGAACUAGGGAGUGGGAGAGGUAGACGGUAUUCGGUAGGAAGGGGUAAAAUCCUUUGAUCUAUUGAGGACCACCUGUGGCGAAGGCGGUCUACCAGAACACGUUCGACGGUGAGGGAUGAAAGCUGGGGGAGCAAACCGGAUUAGAAACCCGUGUAGUCC
rnacentral:rRNA from 1 species